UAUUUCGGCUUUGAAUGAUUUUGGUAUCCAUAGUGGAAGGCUUAAAAUUUUGGCUACUCCAAUCUUUGCUAUUUUUAUAUAUAGUUUAACUUAAAAAAAUAUUGUAUUCAAUUUAGGCUUUUGAUUGGAAAGCUAGGUUUUGGGUAUUUAUAUGGUGUUGACAAAUUAGUUGCGAAUGUUAGCUCUAAAAUCCCUUUUGGAAAUCCCUUUCGGAUUAGGGGACUUAAAGUUCGAGUUGCCUGAGCAACGCUGUAGUUUUUGUAGUUUUUUACCAUCUUCCUAAUGAGUGUACAAUAGUAUCAUGACAGCCAACUAUAGAUUGGAAAAGUGAUUAGACAAGGAAGACAUAACUCCACCUAUAGUAGAUUGGCUUAUAUUUGUUUUAUUUUCUUUAUAUCACUUAAACGAAUCUGAACUUCUUUAUGGAUGAGUGGCUCAGUCCUUUUUUAGUAAGAGCUGGCCAAGUAUGCUAAGGGAUUUAGCACCGCUGUUUUGAACUACCACCAGUUUGUGUAGAGUCCCCAUCAGCAUCUACGAUGCUGCUGAUAUGAUCUAGAGUUGUCUCACUUUGUCAAUAUGAAAAUGUUAAGAGAACGCAAAAUUGUUAAAGUUGCAUUUAGUGAUUUUUCAAACCAUUUUUUCCCCUUUUUACAUGAGAGUAACAUCUUUUAUUGCCAUUUUUUGCAACAUGUACAGUUUUGGACAUUCUUUCUUUUUUUGGGGAGUGAAAAUGGGAAGAAAAGAGGCUGAGUCGGGUUGUAUUUCAUGCUCUCAAGUUUGCGACAUCAAUAUUAGACUCGGUAACAAGUUUACGUAGAACAUGGAGGUCGAAGGACCUUAGUUUUUCUCUUCAUAUCGAAGCGGAGGAGGGCAAGUUUCUGUAUGGGAUUAAGUCACGAAUAGACUAAGCUUGUGACAUGUCUAAGCAAGGCUUGUGGUGUUGCACAUGAUUCUGAGGUUGAAGAGCUGGCUUGACCUUUUUUGUUGACUCACUUGCAUGAGGAAGAGGCAAAUCAAUCCGAGUAUAGUAGGGAGGAGAAGCACAAGAGAGAUUUUAAGCUUUCGUUAAGGAAUACAUGGAGGGAGCAUUUUGUGGAUGUAAUCAA